UACGGGGGGGGCAAGCGUUGUUCGGAAUCACUGGGCGUAAAGCGCACGUAGGCGGAUUGCUAAGUCAGGGGUGAAAUCCUGGAGCUCAACUCCAGAACUGCCCUUGAUACUGGCGGUCUCGAGUCCGGGAGAGGUGAGUGGAACUGCGAGUGUAGAGGUGAAAUUCGUAGAUAUUCGCAAGAACACCAGUGGCGAAGGCGGCUCACUGGCCCGGUACUGACGCUGAGACGCGAAAGCGUGGGGAGCGAACAGG
rnacentral:rRNA from 1 species